CCACUUACCUUUAGUUCCCAAAUCCCAACCCUCAACUCACACAGUCACACCUCUUCAGACUUCAUCUCUUCUCCAAGGACGCCGCCCUCUUCAGCUCUUCUCCAAGGCCGACCACCUCUGCUCAGCUGCACCAUACCUCCAGUCAGUCUCCGUCAAAGCUCGUCCGUCGCUGUAGCCGGUCGGCGUCGCUCCCACUUUUCUCCUCAGCGUCACUGUUCUCACCGUCACUGUCCUCGCCGGCUCGCCUCUCCAGUCUGCGAUCUCUGGUCUCUGCUCGCCUCCCGUCAUCGUCUUUCUGCUAACUGAGAUAGGUGAGGAGGUGAAAGCAAUUGUUUCUGAGUCUGUGCUUAAGAAGCAGAAGAGGGAGGAGGAAUGGGCCUUAAAGAAAAAGGAGGAGUUUAAUGCUGCAAAGAAGAAGAGAGUUGAGAGCCGCAAGCUCAUUUACAGCAGGGCAAAGCAAUAUGCAAAGGAAUACCAGGAGCAGGUUUGAAUCUUGACCUUCAAACCUUUAAUGAUGAUGAAGAUAUGAAAAGUGAUCAAGAAUAAUGAUUGAAGACUCUUUUGAUGCAAUUUCUUUAUUAUACUAUUAAAUUUGUAGUGAUGAAAUAUUUUUUUUAAUUU